GUUGUUGGGUAGGGGAGCGUUCUGUAAGCCUGUGAAGGUGUGCUGUGAGGCAUGCUGGAGGUAUCAGAAGUGCGAAUGCUGACAUAAGUAACGAUAAAGCGGGUGAAAAGCCCGCUCGCCGGAAGACCAAGGGUUCCUGUCCAACGUUAAUCGGGGCAGGGUGAGUCGACCCCUAAGGCGAGGCCGAAAGGCGUAGUCGAUGGGAAACAGGUUAAUAUUCCUGUACUUGGUGUUACUGCGAAGGGGGGACGGAGAAGGCUAUGUCAGCCGGGCGACGGUCGUCCCGGUUUAAGCGUGUAGGCUGACUUUCCAGGCAAAUCCGGAAGGUUAAGGCUGAGGCGUGAUGACGAGGCACCACGGUGCUGAAGUGACAAAUGCCCUGCUUCCAGGAAAAGCCUCUAAGCAUCAGGUAACAUCAAAUCGUACCCCAAACCGACACAGGUGGUCAGGUAGAGAAUACCAAGGCGCUUGAGAGAACUCGGGUGAAGGAACUAGGCAAAAUGGUGCCGUAACUUCGGGAGAAGGCACGCUGACAUGUAGGUGAAGCCCCUGCGGGUGGAGCUGAAGUCAGUCGAAGAUACCAGCUGGCUGCAACUGUUUAUUAAAAACACAGCACUGUGCAAACACGAAAGUGGACGUAUACGGUGUGACGCCUGCCCGGUGCCGGAAGGUUAAUUGAUGGGGUUAUCGCAAGAGAAGCUCCUGAUCGAAGCCCCGGUAAACGGCGGCCGUAACUAUAACGGUCCUAAGGUAGCGAAAUUCCUUGUCGGGUAAGUUCCGACCUGCACGAAUGGCGUAAUGAUGGCCAGGCUGUCUCCACCCGAGACUCAGUGAAAUUGAACUCGCUGUGAAGAUGCAGUGUACCCGCGGCAAGACGGAAAGACCCCGUGAACCUUUACUACAGCUUGACACUGAACAUUGAGCCUUGAUGUGUAGGAUAGGUGGGAGGCUUUGAAGCGUGGACGCCAGUCUGCGUGGAGCCAACCUUGAA
rnacentral:rRNA from 1 species